rfam:Serratia symbiotica genome assembly, type strain CWBI-2.3T, contig: SYMBAF_Contig_16
CGUUGUCAUCACGACAACUGCCAAUGUUCCAGUGAUUUGAGAGGAGCGCCUUCGGGUAAUCACAUGCCAAUGCCAUCACAACCUGAGAGAUGGCGCUUUCGGGCGGUUCAAACCUGUUAACCUUUGCGAACAGGGGCCUGAUAAUCAGGUUAAGGUCCAC